CCUACGGGUGACAGCAGUGAGGAAUAUUGGUCAAUGGGCGCGAGCCUGAACCAGCCAAGUAGCGUGAAGGAUGACUGCCCUACGGGUUGUAAACUUCUUUUAUAAAGGAAUAAAGCGAGGCACGUGUGCCUUUUUGUAUGUACUUUAUGAAUAAGGAUCGGCUAACUCCGUGCCAGCAGCCGCGGUAAUACGGAGGAGCCGAGCGUUAUCCGGAUUUAUUGGGUUUAAAGGGAGCGUAGAUGGGUUGUUAAGUCAGUUGUGAAAGUUUGCGGCUCAACCGUAAAAUUGAAAUUUAUACUGGCAGUCUUGAGUUCAGUUGCGGUAGGCUGCAUUCGUGGUGUAGCGG
rnacentral:rRNA from 1 species